AAACCAACUCGAAUCGUUUUCAGAUUCCCAAUCAGGUAAUGAUAUUGGAUUGGUUAUGUGGAUGUAAUGAUGUUGUUGAAUCUUUGUGUUUUGUUGUUGAAUCGAGGCAUGGCGCUUGGGUGCGAUUACACGAAAUCCCCGCUGCAACGCGUGGUGGGAAAUAAACUAGCAUCAAUUGGGAUGUUUCCAUCCCUUUCGAUCUACGGGUGAUUUUGGAAUGGAAUUCACUGAUGGAGCUAAGUGUCGCAACUGAUAUGUGUCGAAUUCCCACCGAUUCUAGAUUCUAGCAAUGCGACACGAAUCAAAUCUGGAGUUAUAUUACAAAAUAUGGAGCAAGUAUAAUCGAGAGCAGAGGUGGUUAUUUCAACCCGUUAAAAACAUAUGGGUUGAAUGUCUUACAACCUUCUUCGCAAGCCCUUU
rnacentral:lncRNA from 1 species